rnacentral:rRNA from 1 species
AAUGAACGCUGGCGGCAGGCCUAACACAUGCAAGUCGAACGAGUGGCGGACAGUUGAGUAAUGUCUGGGAAACUGCGCGAAGCAGGGGGAUAACUACUGGAAACGGUAGCUAAUACCGUAUACCAUCGGAUGUUGCCAGAUGGGCUUAGAUGGUAGGUGAGUUAACUGCUCACCUAGGCGCCGAUCCCUAGCUGGUCUGAGAGGGUGACCAGCCACACUGGAACUGAGACACGGUCCAGACUCCUACGGGAGGCAGCAGUGGGGAAUAUUGCGCAAUGGGCGCAAGCCUGAUCCAGCAAUGCCGCGUGUGUGAAGAAGGCCUUCGGAUUGUAAAGUUCUUUCAGCGGAGAAGCGUUACCCACCGAAAAAGCAACGGCUAACUCCGUGCCAGCAGCCGCGGUAAUAC